rnacentral:rRNA from 1 species
GACAGAGGUCUCAAGCGUUGUUCGGAUUCAUUGGGCGUAAAGGGCGCGUAGGCGGCGGGGUAAGUCUGGUGUGAAAUCUCGGAGCUCAACUCCGAAAUUGCACUGGAUACUGCUCUGCUUGAGGGUUGGAGAGGAGAUCGGAAUUCACGGUGUAGCAGUGAAAUGCGUAGAUAUCGUGAGGAAGACCAGUGGCGAAGGCGGAUCUCUGGACAAAUCCUGACGCUGAGGCGCGAAGGCUAGGGGAGCAAACGGG